rnacentral:rRNA from 1 species
CGGCACGGGUGAGUAACACGUGAGUGACCUGCCUUUUAGACUGGAACAACUUACCGAAAGGUGAGCUAAUGCCGGAUGAGUUAUAUAAGUGCAUGUUUAUAUAGGAAAAGUUGGGGAGACCUGACGCUGAAAGAUGGACUCGCGUCCCAUUAGCUAGUUGGUAGGGUAAUGGCCUACCAAGGCGACGAUGGGUAGCCGGCCUGAGAGGGUGGCCGGCCCACACUGGGACUGAGACACGGCCCAGACUCCUACGGGAGGCAGCAG